rnacentral:rRNA from 1 species
CAACGCGUGAGGAACCUGCCUCAAAGAGGGGGACAACAGUUGGAAACGACUGCUAAUACCGCAUAAGCCCACGGCUCGGCAUCGAGCAGAGGGAAAAGGAGCAAUCCGCUUUGAGAUGGCCUCGCGUCCGAUUAGCUAGUUGGUGAGGUAACGGCCCACCAAGGCGACGAUCGGUAGCCGGACUGAGAGGUUGAACGGCCACAUUGGGACUGAGACACGGCCCAG